rnacentral:lncRNA from 1 species
CUUUCUUUUUCUGAUUUUUUCCCAUUCCACUUAUUUAUUUUACUUUUCCCCCCUCUUCUGUUAAUCUCUUUUCUCUCCCUGCAUGCUUUAUAUUCUUUCAUCUGCCCCUUUUUAUCUCCCCCAUGCAAGUUCUCUCACUUUUACAUUAAUAGGCUAGCCACAGGCUGUCAGCAAUUUAAGUUGGCUUUUUAUGGCAGUAAAGAUAAAUAAAAAUAUUCUUGAUAACUUUGAAUGACUUCUUCUAGUACACUGAGAUGGUGAAAGAGGAAGUCUGAGGUGAGCUUCUGAGGAAGACGGUUCUGCAAAGGUAAAGGUUGCAGUGUAUUCUGCAUUCUGUAUUCUGCAUUCUGUAUUCUGCAUUCUGUAUUCUGCAUUCUGAAAAUGUUAAAGAAGGAAUUUGAAGGAGCUGGACACACUAAACUUCUAAUACAGUGUGUCUCCUUGUCAAGUGCCUCUAGCAACCCAAAUAUUUAAUUGUUCUCAGUUACCAAACUCCUUAACUGUCUGCACUGAAGUCAUGAGAAAAUUUAUAGAACUGCCUCUGUGUAAUGUGAUUAUUAAAAGAUCUGACUGCAUCUGGAAAAACAACUGCAGAUCAAGCUUUUCUUCCUAUUCAAAAACUGCUUGCUGAAGGACCUUCCAGCUCUCUGUCAUCAUUUGGCAUUCUCAGUGUUUUUCACGACAGGAACAAUGCCUGUUGUGUUAGAUGGUCUGUCUGACAUCCCUAAGCUUCAUGACAGAGGUGAAUUGAAAGUUCUCCACACAAGCAUUUAAUUCUCUGUUCCAAAGAGCAGAAGAAGUUCCAUGGACUGUACCCAAAACAGCAGAGACUUCAGAAGAGAGGGAACAGUCCUGCUGGAGGUGUGGAAAGCAGAGCCUUUGUGGCACAGAGACUUGGUGGGAUAACCCACCGGUCCUUGGGCAGACUGGCAGGACCUGGCUGCCUGCAGAGCUCUGUCACCUCCCUGUUUUGAGGGCAUGCCAUUUCUCCAUUUGUAAGCGGAAGACCUUUUUCCCCUUUCUUUUUCCCCCAGACUUUGUAGCUGAGGGAGGAGCCCAGGAAUUAGAAACCCUUUGGUAUUUCAUUACUGGCACAUUGCUGGAAAAAUGCAGUCCUUUAGGCAGUGACCCAGUUAAGGGUCCUACUUCUGCAGAAAUUUGGUUGCUCCCACCUAUGCCUAGUGAGCCAUUCCUUGUCUCUCCCACACUCUCUGGAAGGUUCUAUCCCUCUCUUUGCAGGUAUAAAUCAAUACAAACAAGAACUGCAUAUUCCUUGCUAGUCAUUGCCUAG